rnacentral:rRNA from 1 species
UACGAAGGGGACUAGCGUUGUUCGGAAUCACUGGGCGUAAAGCGCACGUAGGCGGAUAUGUCCGUCAGGGGUGAAAUCCCGGGGCUCAACCUCGGAACUGCCUUUGAUACAGCAUAUCUUGAGUCCGAUAGAGGUGGGUGGAAUUCCUAGUGUAGAGGUGAAAUUCGUAGAUAUUAGGAAGAACACCGGUGGCGAAGGCGGCCCACUGGAUCGGUACUGACGCUGAGGUGCGAAAGCGUGGGGAGCAAACAGG